UAGCAGUGAAAUGCGUAGAGAUGUGGAGGAACACCGAUGGCGAAGGCAGCCCCCUGGGUCGACACUGACGCUCAUGCACGAAAGCGUGGGUAGCAAACAGGAUUAGAUACCCUGGUAGUCCACGCCCUAAACGAUGCCAACUAGGUGUUGGGGAAGGAGACUUCCUUAGUACCGUAGCUAACGCGUGAAGUUGGCCGCCUGGGGAGUACGGUCGCAAGAUUAAAACUCAAAGGAAUUGACGGGGACCCGCACAAGCGGUGGAUGAUGUGGAUUAAUUCGAUGCAACGCGAAAAACCUUACCUACCCUUGACAUGCCAGGAAUCCUGCUGAGAGGUGGGAGUGCCCGAAAGGGAGCCUGGACACAGGUGCUGCAUGGCUGUCGUCAGCUCGUGUCGUGAGAUGUUGGGUUAAGUCCCGCAACGAGCGCAACCCUUGUCAUUAGUUGCCAUCAUUUAGUUGGGCACUCUAAUGAGACUGCCGGUGACAAACCGGAGGAAGGUGGGGAUGACGUCAAGUCCUCAUGGCCCUUAUGGGUAGGGCUUCACACGUCAUACAAUGGUCGGUACAGAGGGUUGCCAAGCCGCGAGGUGGAGCCAAUCCCAGAAAGCCGAUCGUAGUCCGGAUUGCAGUCUGCAACUCGACUGCAUGAAGUCGGAAUCGCUAGUAAUCGUGGAUCAGCAUGUCACGGUGAAUACGUUCCCGGGUCUUGUACACACCGCCCGUCACACCAUGGGAGUGGGUUUCACCAGAAGUAGGUAGCCUAACCGCAAGGAGGGCGCUUACCACGGUGGGAUUCAUGACUGGGGUG
rnacentral:rRNA from 1 species